UACGGGAGGCAGCAGUGGGGAAUAUUGCACAAUGGGCGAAAGCCUGAUGCAGCUAUGCCGCGUGUAUGAAGAAGGCCUUAGGGUUGUAAAGUACUUUCAUCGGGGAGGAAAAACAAAACUAAUAAUUUUAUUUCUUGACGUUACCCGAAAAAGAAGCACCGGCUAACUCCGUGCCAGCAGCCGCGGUAAUACGGAGGGUGCUAGCGUUAAUCAGAAUUACUGGGCGUAAAGAGCACGGUAGGUGGUUUUUUUAAGUCAGAUGUGAAAUCCCUGGGCUUAACCUAGGAACUGCAUUUUGAAACUGAAAUACUAGAGUAUCGUAGAGGGAGGUAGAAUUCUAGGUGUAGCGGUGAAAUGCGUAGAUAUCUGGAGGAAUACCUGUGGCGAAAGCGGCCUCCUAAACGAAUACUGACACUGAGGGUGCGAAAGCGUGGGGA
rnacentral:rRNA from 1 species